rnacentral:rRNA from 2 species
CGGACGGGUGAGUAACACGUGGAUAACCUACCUAUAAGACUGGGAUAACUUCGGGAAACCGGAGCUAAUACCGGAUAAUAUAUUGAACCGCAUGGUUCAAUAGUGAAAGACGGUUUUGCUGUCACUUAUAGAUGGAUCCGCGCCGCAUUAGCUAGUUGGUAGGGUAACGGCUUACCAAGGCGACGAUGCGUAGCCGACCUGAGAGGGUGAUCGGCCACACUGGAACUGAGACACGGUCCAG